GGACCAAGGAGUCUAGCAUGUGCGCGAGUCAUUGGGACAUAACUAAACCUAAAGGCGUAAUGAAAGUAAAGAUUCGUCUUGCACGAAUCGAGGGAGGAUGAGCGGUUUGCCCUUAAAGUGGCCGCUCCGCACUCCCGGGGCGUCUCGUUCUCAUUGCGAGAAGAGGCGCACCAAGAGCGUACACGCUGGGACCCGAAAGAUGGUGAACUAUGCCUGGUCAGGACGAAGUCAGGGGAAACCCUGAUGGAGGUCCGUAGCGAUUCUGACGUGCAAAUCGAUCGUCGGAACUGGGUAUAGGGGCGAAAGACUAAUCGAACCAUCUAGUAGCUGGUUCCCUCCGAAGUUUCCCUCAGGAUAGCUGGCGCUCGUUGCAUACGAGUUUCAUCCGGUAAAGCGAAUGAUUAGAGGCAUCAGGGUCGAAACGAUUUUGACCUAUUCUCAAACUUUAAAUGGGUGAGAUCUCCGGCUUGCUCGAACUUAUGAAGCCGCGAGUCUUCGAAUCAGAGUGCCAAGUGGGCCAUUUUUGGUAAGCAGAACUGGCGCUGUGGGAUGAACCAAACGCCGAGUUAAAGCGCCUAAAUCGACGCUUAUGGGAUACCAUGAAAGGCGUUGGUAACUUAAGACAGCAGGACGGUGGCCAUGGAAGUCCGAAU
rnacentral:rRNA from 1 species